rnacentral:lncRNA from 1 species
UCCAUCUUUCCUUCAGGUCCUGGUCUGGAUUUCUCUCCUGCACAAAUACAUUUUGCAUUUCGUCACAGAUACAAUGAAGCAUAGUGACGGGGUAGCCCACACAGGUACCUGAGUCUGGGCCUUAAGAGAGGAGGACUGUCACCUGAGCUGGCCUGUGAAACCCAGGAAAAGGCACUCCACAUUUGCAUCUGUCGGUGUGAAAUGAAGAGAUUGACUGCAUUGUGCUUCUCAUUUAGCCUCUCUUCUUCACAGUAAAAAAGACAUUAAUCAAAAUUGCCUGCCAUCUUCCUAAGGAGAAAUUUCAUCUACAGAGUUGCUUGAUUUGGGACAAUAAGGUUUCUCUGCUGGAAGAUGAUGAAGUGCACGUGGGUGGUGUAUAUGCUUCCUGGAAAACACAAGAAGUCAAUGGUGCACCUUUAUUAGAAAGAAAUCAACCAUGCACCUGUUUUAGAAGAGAGUUCUUUUGA